rnacentral:rRNA from 1 species
GAUGAACGCUGGCGGCGUGCCUAAUACAUGCAAGUCGAGCGAACAGACGAGGAGAUUGCUCCUCUGACGUUAGCGGCGCACGGGUGAGUAACACGUGGAUAACCCACCUAUAAGACUGGGAUAACCUCGGGAAACCGGCGCUAAUACCGGAUAAUAUAUUGAACCGCAUGGUUCCAUAGUGAAAGACGGUUUUGCUGUCACUUAUAGAUGGAUCCGCGCCGCAUUAGCUAGUUGGUAAGUUCACGGCUUACGACGGCAACGAUGCGUAGCCGACCUGAGAGGCUGUUCGGACCUACAGGAAGUGCCACGCUGAGAAGACUCCUAAGGGAUGCAGCGGUAGAGAAAUUGCCGCAAUAGGCGAGAGACGGACGGAGGAACACGUCGUGGGUGAUGAUGGGCUUACGAGCGUAAGAGUCGGUUAUUGGGGCAGAACAAAUGUGUAUUGAACUAUGCCCGUAUUGACGGUACCUGAUCAGAAAGCAACGGCUAACUACGUG